rnacentral:rRNA from 1 species
GACGAACGCUGGCGGCGUGCUUAACACAUGCAAGUCGAACGAAGUGGCGAACGGGUGAGUAACGCGUAAUCAACCUGCCCUUCAGAGGGGGACAACAGUUGGAAACGACUGCUAAUACCGCAUACUGAAGGAGGGGAUUGCGUCUGAUUAGCUAGUUGGAGGGGUAACGGCCCACCAAGGCGAUGAUCAGUAGCCGGGUGGAGUGGAGUAGCGGCCAAAUUGGGACUGAGACACGGCCCAGACUCCGACGGGAGGCAGCAGUGGGGAAUCUGCCGAAAUGGACGAAAGUCUGACGGAGCAACGCCGCGUGAGGGAGGAGGGCCUUCGGGUUGUAAAGCUCUGUUAAUCGGGACGCGGUACCGGAAUAGAAAGCCACGGCUAACUACGUGCCAGCAGCCGCGGUAAUUC